rnacentral:rRNA from 1 species
AGCGAACGCUGGCGGCAGGCUUAACACAUGCAAGUCGAACGGUCCUUCGGGAUAGUGGCGGACGGGUGAGUAACACGUGGGAACGUACCCUUAGGUUCGGAACAACACAGGGAAACUUGUGCUAAUACCGGAUAAGCCCUUCGGGGGAAAGCUUUAUCGCCUUUGGAGCGGCCCGCGUCUGAUUAGCUUGUUGGUGAGGUAAUGGCUCACCAAGGCUACGAUCAGUAGCUGGUCUGAGAGGAUGGCCAGCCACACUGGGACUGAGACACGGCCCAGACUCCUACGGGAGGCAGCAGUGGGGAAUCUUGCGCAAUGGGCGAAAGCCUGACGCAGCCAUGCGGCGUGGAUGAUGAAGGUCUUAGGAUUGUAAAAUCCUUUCACCGGGGACGAUAAUGACGGUACCCGGAGAAGGAGCCCCGGCUAACUUCGUGCCAGCAGCCGCCGCGG